CUGUGGCCGAGAAACCCUUUACUUAGUUGGGGCAUCAGCGACUAUAUUUGGUACAAAUAAGGUGAAGUGUAUGAAAUCAUCAUUUUAUCGUAAUUAUAGCAAUGGUUGUAACCGCCAAGUAGAGUUCGACGAGACAACCGAAGCGAAGUCAUGGCCAAAGAUAAGGCAAGCGGCAGUGUCGUUCCACAGGAAGUAUACAAUUUGGCCAAGAAUUAUGAGCAAAUCAGUCCAGCCACACAUCUGGAUUACUUACAUUGGACUAACCCCACCUGAAAGUGUUCCGCGAAAAUACAGCAUUUUGCACGCGAAUAGCCAUUGCAUCAUUACAGGAGUGCUUCCAGAGCCAGGAGAAACAACCAGCUGCACUUACUGGGUUACAGAGCACGACGUUGAAAGUCGCAAUUCAGAUUGUGACUACAUUUUCUUGCAUUACUGCACGUCCCCGCAAUCUUUUUCGUCAAAGGAAUGUCAGUAGUGUUGGAGCUUAUUAAUAAAAACGCAUUUGUCUCA